CAGUCGCCGCGGUAAUACGGAGGGAGCUAGCGUUGUUCGGAAUUACUGGGCGUAAAGCGCACGUAGGCGGUCAGCCAAGUCAGAGGUGAAAGCCCGGAGCUCAACUUCGGAACUGCCUUUGAAACUAUCUGACUAGAAUCUUGGAGAGGCGGGUGGAAUUCCGAGUGUAGAGGUGAAAUUCGUAGAUAUUCGGAAGAACACCAGUGGCGAAUGCGGCCCGCUGGACAAGUAUUGACGCUGAGGUGCGAAAGCAUGGGGAGCAAACAGGAUUAGAUACCCCAGUAGUCCCUGUCUCUUAUAC
rnacentral:rRNA from 1 species